rnacentral:rRNA from 1 species
AUGAACGCUAGCGGCAGGCUUAAUACAUGCAAGUCGUGGGGCAGCAGGUCCCGCAGCAAUGCGGGAUGCUGGCGACCGGCAAACGGGUGCGGAACACGUACACAACCUUCCUUUAAGUGGGGAAUAGCCCGGGGAAACCCGGAUUAAUACCCCGUAACAUAUAGAAGUGGCAUCACUUUUAUAUUAUACGCAGCAAUGCGCUUGAAGAUGGGUGUGCGGCUGAUUAGAUAGUUGGCGGGGUAACGGCCCACCAAGUCGACGAUCAGUAACUGGUGUGAGAGCACGACCAGUCACACGGGCACUGAGACACGGGCCCGACUCCUACGGGAGGCAGCAGUAAGGAAUAUUGGUCAAUGGACGCGAGGUCUGAACCAGCCAUGCCGCGUGGGAGGAUGAAGGUCCUCUGGAUUGUAAACUUCUUUAUUUGGGAAGAAAUCUAUCUUUCUUGGAUAGUUGACGGUACCAGAUGAAUAAGCACCGGGCUAACUCCGUGCCAGCAGCCGCGGUAAUACGGAGGGUGCAAGCGUUAUCCGGAUUCACUGGGUUUAAAGGGUGCGUAGGUGGGCAAGUAAGUCAGUUGGUGAAAUCUCCGGGCUUUACCCGGAAACUGCCAUUGAUACUAUUUGUCUUGAAUACUGUGGAGGUCAGCGGAAUAUGUCGUGUAGCGGUGAAAUGCUUAGAUAUGACAUAGAACACCAAUUGCGAAGGCAGCUGGCUACACAAAUAUUGACACUGAGGCACGAAAGCGUGGGGAUCAAACAGGAUUAGAUACCCUGGUAGUCCACGCCCUAAACUAUGGAUACCUCGACAUUUGCGAUAAACUGCAAGUGUCUGAGCGAAAAGCCAGUAAGUAUCCCACCUGGGAAGUACGAUCGCAAGAUUGAAACUCAAAGGAAUUGGCGGGGGUCCGCACAAGCGGGUGGAGGCAUGUGGUUUAAUUCGAUGAUACGCGAGGGAACCUUACCUGGGCUAGAAUGCUGGGAGACCGUGGGUGAAAGCUCACUUUGUAGCAAUACACUGCCAGUAAGGUGCUGCAUGGCUGUCGUCAGCUCGUGCCGUGAUGGUGUUGGGUUAAGUCCCGCAACGAGCGCACCCCCAUCACUAGUUGCCAUCAGGUAACGCUGGGAACUCUAGUGAAACUGCCGUCGUAAGACGUGAGGAAGGAGGGGAUGAUGUCAAGUCAUCAUGGCCUUAUGCCCAGGGCUACACACGUGCUACAAUGGGGCGUACAAAGGGCUGCAAACAUAGCGAUAUGAAGCUAAUCGCCAAAAAACGCCUCUCAGUUCAGAUUGGAGUCUGCAACUCGACUCCAUGAAGCUGGAAUCGCUAGUAAUCGUAUAUCAGCAAUGAUACGGUGAAAUACGUUCCCGGAGCCUUGCACACACCACCGCCCGUCAAGCCAUGGAAGCUGGGUGUACCUAAAGUCGGUAACCGUAAGGAGCCGCCUAGGUAAAACUAGUGACUGGGGCU